rnacentral:tRNA from 1 species
GGAAGGGUAGCGAAGAGGCUAAACGCGGCGGACUGUAAAUCCGCUCCUUCGGGUUCGGGGGUUCGAAUACCUACCCUUCCA